UACGAAGGGGGCGAGCGUUAUUCGGAAUCACUGGGCGUAAAGCGUGCGUAGGCUGUUUCACAAGUUGGAAGUGAAAGCCCAGGGCUCAACCCUGGAAUUGCUUUCAAAACUGUGAGACUCGAAUCUCGGAGAGGAUAGCGGAAUUUCCAGUGUAGUGGUGAAAUACGUAGAUAUUGGAAGGAACACCAGUGGCGCAAGCGGCUAUCUGGACGAGUAUUGACGCUGAGGCACGAAAGCGUGGGGAUCAAACAGGAUAGAAAC
rnacentral:rRNA from 1 species